rnacentral:misc_RNA from 1 species
AAGUCGUAACAAGGUUACCUUCUGCAGCGCAGCUCCGGAGACCUUGCAACCCCUAUAGGGAGGCAGCACGACAGUAAAUAAAGCUCGCCGCGUGCAAGUCGACCCGUCGGUCGGCAACACAAUCGAAUUGACGGGGACCUCCUAAAGCCUGCAACACCAACCGUCCGAGGAAACUCGGGCGAGGCCCUCACGGGAUGGUAAGAGAGUGCAGGAUGAACAAUGGACGAUCCGCAGCGAAGACCCUAAGGCUGUAUGCUACGGGUACCGUUCACAGA